rfam:Myotis davidii contig322418, whole genome shotgun sequence.
GAGACACCCUUAUGGAGUAGGACUUGCUUCAGUGGGGCUUUGGUGCUCACUGAGUCUUCCCCUUGAGUUUAUCACU